CGGGUGAGUAAUGCGUGACCAACCUGCUCCAUGCUCCAGAAUAGCUCUUGGAAACGGGUGGUAAUGCUGGAUGCUCCAACUUGACGCAUGUCUUGUUGGGAAAGUGUUUAGUGGCAUGGGAUGGGGUCGCGUCCUAUCAGCUUGUAGGCGGGGUAAUGGCCCACCUAGGCUUCGACGGGUAGCCGGCCUGAGAGGGCGGACGGCCACAUUGGGACUGAGAUACGGCCCAGACUCCUACGGGAGGCAGCAGAC
rnacentral:rRNA from 1 species